ACGGGAGGCAGCAGUGAGGAAUAUUGGUCAAUGGGCGAGAGCCUGAACCAGCCAAGUCGCGUGAAGGAUGAAGGUUCUAUGGAUUGUAAACUUCUUUUAUUCGAGGGUAAAGUGAGUCACGUGUGGUUCAUUGCAAGUAUCGAAUGAAUAAGCAUCGGCUAACUCCGUGCCAGCAGCCGCGGUAAUACGGAGGAUGCGAGCGUUAUCCGGAUUUAUUGGGUUUAAAGGGUGCGUAGGCGGGACGUUAAGUCAGUGGUAAAAGCGUGUGGCUCAACCAUACCAAGCCAUUGAAACUGUCGUUCUUGAGUGUAAACGAGGUAGGCGGAAUGUGACGUGUAGCGGUGAAAUGCUUAGAUAUGUCACAGAACACCGAUUGCGAAGGCAGCUGACUAAUCCGCAACUGACGCUCAGGCACGAAAGCGUGGGGCUCGAACAGGAUUAGAUACCCUGGUA
rnacentral:rRNA from 1 species